rnacentral:rRNA from 1 species
CACGUAGGCGGAUUGGCAAGUCAGAUGUGAAAGCCCGGGGCUUAACCUCGGAACUGCAUUUGAUACUGUCUGUCUUGAGUAUGGUAGAGGGGGAUGGAAUUCCCGGUGUAGAGGUGAAAUUCGUAGAUAUCGGGAGGAACACCAGAGGCGAAGGCGAUCCCCUGGGCCAUUACUGACGCUGAGGAGCGAAAGCGUGGGGAGCAAACAGGAUUAGAUACCCUGGUAGUCC